GGGCGCGACGAGAGGACGAUCUAGCUAGUCCGGUAUAGCGACCGUCAUCCUGGUUACUUUUAUUUCUGCACUUAGUAGUUGUUAAUAAUAAAUGGUUCAGUUAGAUGUUUGAAUGUUGUGAUUUCCGUUAUGCAUGAUUAGAUGAUCAUACUUGAUGUUUGAAUAUUGUGAGCUGGUUGAAUUUGUGGAUUUGUGGAUUUGGUUUAUGGAUCUUCAAUUUUGGGAUAUUUGUAUUUAUGGAUUUACGAAUCGUGGUUUUCUACCCCUCGAGGUAGUCGAUUUUCAAAAUAGAGUUUUCGUGUGGGAAACAGCUUUCAAAAGGUUUUUGAAUGGUUUUCAUGAAUGAAUGAAUUAGAGUUCAAAAGCAAAGCUUCCGGGUGGGGAGCACUUUUAAAUAUGAUGAUUGUUGUGCUGUGCAUUGCAUCAUCCAGCGCCUAAGGAGUGCUUAGAGGCAUGCAUCAUCUUUGAGGAUCGUUAGCUGUAUGGAAAUGUAUAUCAUGAAUUGGUUGUUAAUUGGUGAUUGUAGAUUAUAGUUGGGAUCCUGUGGUAGCUAUUGGUAUGCCGUGAAAAUACAAAGGAGACUCUGUCCGAGUGGACAGAGGAACUUUGUAUUUGUGGCGGGUCUAUACGUCUCGUGGGCCAGGUUGAAAAAAAAAUGGGACGUCUUCCGCAGCUCUGUUUUUAAAAUGGUAAUGGAUUUUA
rnacentral:lncRNA from 1 species